GUUACAGGGUGAGGAAAGGAAGAGGAACUCUUGUUCAUGGAAGAGUCUCAAUUUCAUUGAAGAAGGGGCUGGGAGGACAGCUAUAAACACAACUGCACAACUAAAGGAGUAAUUGCACUGCCAUAGAAAACCACGUGGAUGGCAAAGCUAUAAUCUUGCAAAAGGUGGCAAGCAACUUCAAAGCUUGUAUAAACACACCAUGCUGGCGAGGGGACUGAGGGUGCUUGGGAAGCUGGGAGGAGACACAUUUGGGACAGCAGACCUGGACUGACCAGGUAGGUGGGGGGAAGAAGGAGGAAGAGAGCGACAUUUGGAGUGAUGGUGUUUGUCUUCCUAAGGAACUGUGUGAUGGGGUCCUGCUCUCCUGGAAAUGGCUGAACUCCUGUCUGACCAUGGAAAGCACUGAAUGAACUCCUUGUUUUCCUUUGCUCGUGUGUGUGUCUUUUUCUUUCCCUAUUAAACUGCCUUUAUCUCAA